rnacentral:lncRNA from 1 species
UUUUGGGCAAAAUUAAAAGUAGUAGACUCAGACUUCAAUUUAAAUCUAUAUUUGAAUCAGAUGAUUAAACCAAACCAAUUUAUCAAAUUCUGUACAUAUAAACACCAUAUACCCAAAUCUAGUUAAAAUUUUCACCAAAUCCCACCACCUAAUUUCCUGCAGCUGAAUUCCCUUCUCCGCCACCAUCAAUUUUGGGAACUGAUCGGUGCAAUUGCUCGGAUGCAUCAAUCGAAAUUAUGCUAAAGUCAAUCCACAUGCUAUGCAUCCUUUCUGCGCGAUUCGCUACAACGCCGCACCACCGCCUCCUUCACCAGCCCCACUUACCCCCUAUGUUCCUCUCUGCGCGUCGGCGGUGCUCGGCCUCUUCGAGAAGGCGUAGCCCCUCCCGGAGCUUCUCUACACACACACACACGAGAUCAAUUAGGGUAAUAACUUUGUGAUUGAAAUCUGAGCUUGUGUUGUUGACUUGGGAAUAUGAGGAAGAGGUCGGAUCUGAGGGGAGUAGACAUGAGGGCGAUGAGUCAGGCAAGUUGGCGGUUCGCUAUCGCCUGACUGAGAACCGGAGGGGGGGGGGAGGGGGGCUUUGUGCCAUACUAUUGUCGGAGUCUAGAAAAGGAAAGGUCUGCAGUGAAUUAGGGACCUAGGGAUCAGCGGUGGCGGCCUUCUGCUCGUGCAGUCGCCGGAAAUAAAUAGUACAGAGGCUUGGAAAUUGGGCUUGGGGUUUUCAGACGGCGCAUCCGCCGCCGUUAGCUUUCCAAAGCGGGGAAGAUGAGAUAAAAGGUAGAGAGGGAGGCGGCGGUUGAGGCCUUGUUGCGGUCGCCGGAGAUGAGAGAGAGAGGACGAAACCGGAGGAAAGGGCGAAGGAGAUAGAAAUGGCGGCGAUGGCGGUGGAGAUUUGGAGAUGGCCGGACCGGAGAAGCCAUGGCUGCUGUGAAGAGAGUGAGACGCACACACAGUGGGUAGAAGAAAUGAGUUGGGGUUUAGGUUUCUAUAGUCCUUAAUUAAGUAACUGAUUUAAUUUUUUAAUUUUUUCUACCUAUUUUUUAAUUAUGAUAUUUUAUUUAUUGUAUUUUAUUUUAAUUAAUAUAAUGUAUAAAUUUAUUUUUAAUGAAAUAUUGAAUUUUAAAAUUGACG